AUUGAACGCUGGCGGCAUGCCUUACACAUGCAAGUCGAACGGUAACGCGGGGCAACCUGGCGACGAGUGGCGAACGGGUGAGUAGUGCAUCGGAACGUGCCCAAUAGUGGGGGAUAGCCCGGCGAAAGCCGGAUUAAUACCGCAUACGACCUAUGGGUGAAAGCGGGGGAUCGCAAGACCUCGCGCUAUUGGAGCGGCCGAUGUCAGAUUAGGUAGUUGGCGGGGUAAAGGCCCACCAAGCCUGCGAUCUGUAGCUGGUCUGAGAGGACGACCAGCCACACUGGGACUGAGACACGGCCCAGACUCCUACGGGAGGCAGCAGUGGGGAAUUUUGGACAA
rnacentral:rRNA from 1 species